CGGGACGGGUGAGUAACGCGUGGAUAACCUGCCUCACACUGGGGGAUAACAGUUAGAAAUGACUGCUAAUACCGCAUAAGCGCACAGUACCGCAUGGUACAGUGUGAAAAACUCCGGUGGUGUGAGAUGGAUCCGCGUCUGAUUAGCCAGUUGGCGGGGUAACGGCCCACCAAAACGACGAUCAGUAGCCGACCUGAGAGGGUGACCGGCCACAUUGGGACUGAGACACGGCCCAA
rnacentral:rRNA from 1 species